CACGGGGGGAGCAAGCGUUGUUCGGAUUCAUUGGGCGUAAAGGGCUCGUAGGUGGCUUUGUAAGUCGGAGGUGAAAUCCCACGGCUCAACCGUGGACACGCCUUCGAAACUGUGAAGCUUGAGGCUGGGAGAGGAAAUCGGAAUUCCUGGUGUAGCGGUGAAAUGCGUAGAUAUCAGGAGGAACACCGGUGGCGAAGGCGGAUUUCUGGACCAGUUCUGACACUGAUGAGCGGAAGCCAGGGGAGCAAACAGG
rnacentral:rRNA from 1 species